rnacentral:rRNA from 1 species
CCUACGGGAGGCAGCAGUGGGGAAUAUUGCACAAUGGGGGAAACCCUGAUGCAGCGACGCCGCGUGAGUGAAGAAGUAUUUCGGUAUGUAAAGCUCUAUCAGCAGGGAAGAAAAUGACGGUACCUGAUUAAGAAGCCCCGGCUAACUACGUGCCAGCAGCCGCGGUAAUACGUAGGGGGCAAGCGUUAUCCGGAUUUACUGGGUGUAAAGGGAGCGCAGACGGCAGUGCAAGUCAGGAGUGAAAGCCCGGGGCCCAACCCCGGGACUGCUUUGGAAACUGUGCGGCUGGAGUGCGGGAGGGGCAGGCGGAAUUCCUGGUGUAGCGGUGAAAUGCGUAGAUAGCAGGAGGAACACCAGUGGCGAAGGCGGCCUACUGGACUGUAACUGACGUUGAGGCUCGAAAGCGUGGGGAGCAAACAGGAUUAGAUACCCUUGUAGUC